UACGUAGGGUGCGAGCGUUAAUCGGAAUUACUGGGCGUAAAGUGUGCGCAGGCGGCAGAGCAAGUCGAGUGUGAAAGCCCCCGGGCUUAACUUGGGAAUUGCGCUCGAAACUACUUUGCUGGAGUGUGGCAGAGGAAGGUGGAAUUCCACGUGUAGCGGUGAAAUGCGUAGAGAUGUGGAGGAACACCAAUGGCGAAAGG
rnacentral:rRNA from 1 species